rnacentral:rRNA from 1 species
GAUGAACGCUGGCGGCGUGCCUAAUACAUGCAAGUCGAGCGAACGGACGAGAAGCUUGCUUCUCUGAUGUUAGCGGCGGACGGGUGAGUAACACGUGGAUAACCUACCUAUAAGACUGGGAUAACUUCGUGAAACCGGAGCUGAUACUGGCUAAUAUUUUGAACCGCAUGGUUCAAAAGUGAAAGACGGUCUUCCUGUCACUUAUAGAUGGAUCCGCGUUGCAUUAGCUAGUUGGUAAGGUAACGGCUUACCAAGGCUACGAUGCAUAGCUGACCUGAGAGGAUGAUCGGCCACACUGGAACUGAGACACGGUCCAGACUCCUACGGGAGGCAGCAGUAGGGAAUCUUCCACAAUGGGCGAAAGCCUGACGGAGCAACGCCGCGUGAGUGAUGAAGGUCUUCGGAUCGUAAAACUCUGUUAUUAGGGAAGAACAUAUGUGUAAGUAACUGCGCACAUCUUGACGGUACCUAAUCAGAAAGCCACGGCUAACUACGUG